CUAGGCAUUCUCUGAAACUAUGACAAGGGGCUUAAAACUCUUCCCACGUAUUGCCACAUACAGUACUCACCGCAAGCAGUCCCCUAAACUGUCUGGCUGUGGUUACAGUUCAGUUCUGAGCCAGGAAUGGGGCAGGACAGUGCUGAGCCCAGGCAGGCUACUGUGCUUUCAGCACGCUUUGCUGGAUGGAUGAGACCUGGCAUUCCCAAUUAGGGCACUCGCACAAAGCGCCGGCCGGGCCGUGGCAUUGCCAUGCAGCCCAGCUCUGCAGCGCUGGCUCCGCUGGCAGCUCCAAGGGAAGCGCACAUGGCGAUUUCUGUACAGCAGCAUAUGGGAAGGAUGUGGAAGGACGACUGGUUUCUCCCAGGCUUGUGAGGAGCUCCCAUCAGAAAGCAGCAAUUCAAAAUGGAAGGAAGGUUCCAGAAAAUAAAUCACAGGGAGGAGUUUCAUCAGUGUAAUUAUAUAAAAAUUCCACAUUGAAGAAAGCUGUGUGAUGGGAUCUGUAGUGGAAAGAGUGUUUUCACGUUCCAAAAUUCCUCUGGGAGAGAGCACAGACACCUCUGUGGCAAGCAGACCUCUGAGUCUCCCAAGGACUCCCUGCCCAGUCCAGGAGGGGAGCUGGAACCCAUCCAGGUCUGGCCUCUUCCGAUUCUCCGGAUGCGCUGCUAUGACUCAGGCACGGGCAUGUCCUAACCCUGACACGGAUCCCAAAACAGAUCAGUAUCCCAGCAAGACUGCGUAAUACUCAUUCAUAACCAGACAGCCUUGGACAUAAUUAGCAGCCCCUGCAAGUCUGGAGACAUUGCAGCCCUCAGAUAUGAUGGAUCUCUUGAAAUAGGAAUUUUACGGAUUUGCCUCACGCUGCCCCUCACAUUCACAGUCAGAGAAGCUGCUGCUCGGAUCUGGGACUUCAGCAUACCUCACAGGACUCUGUUUGGUUGCUUACAUGGAAACACAACAGUAGGAAACUAUUUUAUGUAAUUUAACAGUGAGAAAGAGAGGAAAGGAGCCAGCACUGCGGGAUUAUCCAGCACUCUGGACCACCAUCAGGUUGUGCCUAGAAUAAACUUCGGCCACCUCGGCUUUACUAACA
rnacentral:lncRNA from 1 species